CCGGCGACCGGCGCACGGGUGAGUAACACGUAUGCAACUUGCCCUCCGCAGGGGAGUAACCCGGAGAAAUCCGGACUAAUACCGCGUGGUACAUCUGUGGGGCGAUCCCACGGGUGUUAAAAGGAAGCGAUUCCGGCGGAGGAUGGGCAUGCGGCGCAUUAGCUAGUUGGCGGGGUAACGGCCCACCAAGGCGACGAUGCGUAGGGGUUCUGAGAGGAAGGUCCCCCACACUGGUACUGAGACACGGACCAGACUCCUACGGAAGGCAGCAG
rnacentral:rRNA from 1 species